rnacentral:rRNA from 1 species
CCUACGGGUGGCUGCAGUCGAGAAUCAUUCACAAUGGGGGAAACCCUGCUGGUGCGACGCCGCGUGGGGGAAUGAAGGUCUUCGGAUUGUAAAUCCCUGUCAUGUGGGAGCAAAUUAAAAAGAUAGUACCACAAGAGGAAGAGACGGCUAACUCUGUGCCAGCAGCCGAGGUAAUACACAGGUCUCAAGCGUUGUUCGGAAUCACUGGGCGGAAAGCGUGCGUAGGCUGUUUCGUAAGUCGUGUGUGAAAGGCGCGGGCUCAACCCGCGGACGGCACAUGAUACUGCGAGACGAGAGUAAAGGAGGGGGAACCGGAAUUCUCGGUGUAGCAGUGAAAUGCGUAGAUAUCGAGAGGAACACUCGUGGCGAAGGCGGGUUCCUGGACAUUAACUGUCGCUGAGGCACGAAGGCCAGGGGAGCGAAAGGGAUUAGAGACCCCAGGAGUC